CUUUGAUGGCGUUACAUUAAGAUGAGUCUUCUUCUAAUACGAUCUGAUUUCACUGCUGUCUCAAGGGAAUCAACAACAAAAUGCUGAUCGUGUUUUAUUCACUGCUGAUGCUCAGAGUCGGACGAUGCACAGAUGAUCUGAACUUUGGGAUACUGACUGUUGAAGUCAGAGAUUAGGUCACUCUGACCUGUGCCCACCAGGACUCUGGGCUCUCAACUCAGUUGUUUUGGAUCCGGCUGGUUUCUGGAAACAUGCCUGAAUCGUUAGGAAUAUUUAAUUUUGAUUUUGAUGGUGUGAACAAAACUCCUCGCGUUAAAGCAAAACAAGGCGAUGGAACAUUUCUCCUGUAUAUUAAUGAAGCACAGUUAAGUGAUACUGGACUUUACUACUGUGUAAAUGUAAAGAGCCUUGACAUGACAUUUGUGGAAGGAACAUUUCUGAGAAUUCAAGUUACCAGGACCAGAACCAGAUGUCACCGCCGUCAUUCAACUCCCUCCAUCUGAUCCGGUCCGUCCAGGAGACUCAGUGACUCUGCAGUGUUCAGUCCUCUCUGACUCCCAGAACAAAACAUGUCCAGGAGAUCACAGUGUGUUCUGGUUCAGAGACAGAUCAGAUGAAUCUAAUCCCAGUUUUAUUUACUCUCAUGGAAACAGUGGUGCUGAAUGUGAGACGAGUCUCAAGGCUUGAUCUCCACAGAAAUGUGUCUACAGCUUCCCUAAGAACGUCAGCUCCUCUGAUGCCGGGACUUAUUACUGCACUGUGGCCACAUGUGGAGAGAUUCUGUUUGGAAAUGGAACAAAACUGGACAU